rnacentral:rRNA from 1 species
AGGACGAACGCUGGCGGCGUGCCUAACACAUGCAAGUCGAGCGGAGUUGACAAGAGGAAGUUUCGGAUGGAAUUUGUUAAUUAGCGGCGGACGGGUGAGUAACGCGUGAGCGACCAACCUUGCACAGGGGAUAACGGACCGAAAGGUUCACUAAUACCGCAUGAGACCACGGUGUUGCAUGACACAGGGGUCAAAAGGAGCAAUCUGGCGCAAGACGGGCUCGCGUCCGAUUAGGUAGUUGGAGGGGUAACGGCCCACCAAGCCUAUGAUCGGUAGCCGACCUGAGAGGGUGAUCGGCCACAUUGGAACUGAGAUACGGUCCAAACUCCUACGGGAGGCAGCAGUGGGGAAUAUUGGGCAAAUGGGGGAAACCCUGACCCAGCAACGCCGCGUGAAGGAAGAAGGUUUUCGGAUUGUAAACUUCUGUCCUUGGUGAAGAGAAGAAGACGGUAGCCAAGGAGGAAGCCCCGGCUAACUACGUGCCAGCCGCAGC